UUCAACGGCCGCGGUAUCCUAACCGUGCAAAGGUAGCGUAAUCACUUGUCCUUUAAAUAAGGACCUGUAUGAAUGGCUAAAUGAGGAUAAACCUGUCUCCUUUAAAAAAUCAGUGAAACUGAUCUACCAGUACAAAAGCUGGUAUAUAUACAUAAGACGAGAAGACCCUGUGGAGCUUUAAAUCUUUAGCCAAGCAACCACACCACGCCUGCCAAUGACUAAAAAUUUUAAGUUGGGGCGACUUCGGAAUUAAACAAAACUUCCGAGCAUAAGAAUAUUAAUCUUACCAAGACCAACAAGUCGAAGCAAAACUUGACCCAGUAGAACUGAUUACCGAACCAAGUUACCCCAGGGAUAACAGCGCAAUCUUCUUAAAGAGUCCAUAUCGACAAGAAGGUUUACGACCUCGAUGUUGGAUCAGGACACCCAAAUGGUGCANCCGCUAUUAAAGGUUC
rnacentral:rRNA from 1 species